rnacentral:rRNA from 1 species
GAUGAACGCUGGCGGCGUGCCUAAUACAUGCAAGUCGAGCGAACAGACGAGGAGCUUGCUCCUCUGACGUUAGCGGCGGACGGGUGAGUAACACGUGGAUAACCUCCCUAUAAGACUGGGAUAACUUCGGGAAACCGGAGCUAAUACCGGAUAAUAUAUUGAACCGCAUGGUUCAAUAGUGAAAGACGGUUUUGCUGUCACUUAUAGAUGGAUCCGCGCCGCAUUAGCUAGUUGGUAAGGUAACGGCUUACCAAGGCAACGAUGCGUAGCCGACCUGAGAGGGGGAUCGGCCACACUGGAACUGGGCCACGGUCCAGACGCCUACGGGAGGGAGCAGUAGGGAAUCUUCCGCAAUGGGCGAAAGCUUGACGGAGCAACGCCGCGUGAGUGAUGAAGGUCUUCGGAGCGUAAAACUCUGUUAUUAGGGAAGAACAAAUGUGUAAGUAACUAUGCACGUCUUGACGGUACCUAAUCAGAAAGCCACGGCUAACUACGUG